GUACACGCUGUGACUAGCAUAUCAAUAAGCGGAGGAAAAGAAACUAACAAGGAUUCCCCUAGUAACGGCGAGUGAAGCGGGAAGAGCUCAAAUUUGAAAUCUUAAAGGGUUUCCCUUUACGAAUUGUAGUUUAAAGAAGUGUUUUCUGUUGAGGUUUUGGUAAAAGUUCUUUGGAAUAGGACAUCAUAGAGGGUGAGAAUCCCGUAUUUGACCUUUACUUUCAACUUUGUGAUACAUUUUCAAAGAGUCGGAUUGUUUGGGAAUGCAGUCCAAAAUGGGUGGUAAAUUUCAUCUAAAGCUAAAUAUUAGGCGAGAGACCGAUAGCGAACAAGUACCGUGAGGGAAAGAUGAAAAGAACUUUGAAAAGAGAGUUAAACAGUACGUGAAAUUGUCAAAAGGGAAGCGUUUGACACCAGUGUUGUUUUUCUGAAAAUCAAUUAAAGAACUGUUUAUGCUAAGCUGUUUAGACUUUAUCAGCUAUCUGUUUAGUUUUGAGCUUUUCUUUAAUGCACUUUUCAGUUAACAAGUCAACAUCAAUUUCUUUUGCUGUAAAAAAGCUUGAGGAAGGCGGCUUGAGAUUCGUCUUAAGUGUUUAUAGCCUCUUGCCUAUGCAGUCGGAGAGAUUGAGGUCUGCAGCGUAGAUCCUUCGGGGCUAAAUGCAUUUGUGCUAAGUUAUAGCAUUUUAUAGACAACUUGUUGACUAUGAUUUGUCUUGUAGCUUACUCGCUUAUGUUAUUUUACCUACGCUUAGGAUGUUGAUAUGCAUGACUGAUAU
rnacentral:rRNA from 1 species